rnacentral:rRNA from 1 species
AAUAGAUACCCGGGUAGUCCUAGCUGUAAACGGUGCCCAUUUGCUGUAAACGGAAUCGACCCCCGUUUGUGGCGAAGCUAACGCGAUAAAUGCGCCGCCUGGGAAGUACGGUCGCAAGAUUAAAACUCAAAGAAAUUGACGGGGGCCUGCACAAGCGGUGGAGUAUGUGGCUUAAUUCGAUGCAACGCGAAGAACCUUACCUGGCCUUGACAUGCAAGUAGUAGAACCAUGAAAGUGGGACGAUCCCGCAAGGGAAGCUUGCACAGGUGCUGCAUGGCUGUCGUCAGCUCGUGUCGUGAGAUGUUGGGUUAAGUCCCGCAACGAGCGCAACCCUUGUGUCCUGUUGCCACUCCUUCGAGAGAAGGAAGCACUCUGGACAGACUGCCUCGCUUAAACGAGGAGGAAGGUGGGGAUGACGUCAAGUCAGUAUGGCCCUUACGGCCAGGGCUGCACACGUACUACAAUGCAUGGCACAAAGGGAAGCUAGACCGUCAGGUGGAGCAAACUCCCAAUAAAACCAUGCCC